rnacentral:rRNA from 1 species
CAGUCGCCGCGGGAAUACGUAGGUGGCAAGCGUUGUCCGGAAUUAUUGGGCGUAAAGGGCUCGCAGGCGGUUUCUUAAGUCUGAUGUGAAAGCCCCCGGCUCAACCGGGGAGGGUCAUUGGAAACUGGGAAACUUGAGUGCAGAAGAGGAGAGUGGAAUUCCACGUGUAGCGGUGAAAUGCGUAGAGAUGUGGAGGAACACCAGUGGCGAGGGCGACUCUCUGGUCUGUAACUGACGCUGAGGAGCGAAAGCGUGGGGAGCGAACAGGAUUAGAUACCCGCGUAGUCCCUGUCUCUUAUAC